AUUGAACGCUGGCGGUAUGCUUAACACAUGCAAGUCGAACGGUAACAGGCCUUCGGGCGCUGACGAGUGGCGGACGGGUGCGUAACGCGUAGGAAUCUGCCUGUUAGUGGGGGACAACGUGGGGAAACUCACGCUAAUACCGCAUACGCCCUACGGGGGAAAGCGGGGGACCUUCGGGCCUCGCGCUAACAGAUGAACCUGCGUCCCAUUAGGUAGUUGGUGAGGUAACGGCCCACCAAGCCGACGAUGGGUAGCUGGUCUGAGAGGACGAUCAGCCACACUGGAACUGAGACACGGUCCAGACUCCUACGGGAGGCAGCAGUGAGGAAUAUUGCGCAAUGCCCGAAAGGGUGACGCAGCGACGCCGCGUGGAGGAUGAAGGCCCUAUGGGUCGUAAACUCCUUUUGUGAGGGAAUAAUUUCUUGCUACAGGCAGGAUUGAAUGUACCUCAGGAAAAAGCAUCGGCUAACUACGUGCCAGCAGCCGCCGUAAGAC
rnacentral:rRNA from 1 species